rnacentral:tRNA from 1 species
UCCCUGGUGGUCCAGUGGUUAAGACUCUGCACUUGCAAUGCAGGGGGCCCGGGUUGGAUCCCUGGUCGGGGAA